rnacentral:precursor_RNA from 13 species
CUUUCAUGGGGACAAACCCUCAUCACUCAAUAAAUCAGUCAUCAGUCAGAGACUCAGUAAAUGCCUCUGAUUGGUGAUUUGCUUUAGCGAGUGAUGAAGCUAAACUUUGACAAAAUGA